GCAGGCUGAAACCCGCCUGUAUGAAGUUGGAAUCGCUAGUAAUCGCGGAUCAGCAUGCCGCGGUGAAUACGUUCCCGGGCCUUGUACACACCGCCCGUCACACCACGAGAGUCGGGAACACCCGAAGUCCGUAGUCUAACCGCAAGGGGGACGCGGCCGAAGGUGGGUUCGAUAAUUGGGUGAAGUCGUAACAAGGUAGC
rnacentral:rRNA from 1 species